AAUUGAUAGGUUUUAGUUUAUAGUUAAUGGCAGUAGGCGUAUUCUUGCAGAGAAAAAGUAGUGAAGUCAAAGAGACGCUAAUGAAAUUUGUGAAAAUCAUAUAAAAAAAGUAAGUAAUUUGAAAAUAUCUAUGUAAAAAAAUGAAGAAUAUGUAGUAAUAGUUUAAAUGAUUUCAUAGGAAUUUGUCGGCGCCAAAGGAUGGCAAAAAUAUUGAGUGAUUAAGAUAGCUGAUUGAAGAAAGGAUUUAACGCAAGAGAAAGGAAGGCGUGAAGGGACAAAUAGCGGCUAGCUAUUAAAAUAGAAUCCCUCACAUACUUUCGCCAUUGGACCUCAUUUGCUUACAAUUGCCAUCCUCGCCACCCACCCACACCGUAGAAUAAUUUUGGAAAUAAAAUAUAAAUAUACAGU